rnacentral:rRNA from 1 species
GAUGAACGCUGACAGAAUGCUUAACACAUGCAAGUCAACUUGAAUUUGGGUUUUUAACUUAGGUUUGGGUGGCGGACGGGUGAGUAACGCGUAAAGAACUUGCCUCACAGCUAGGGACAACAUUUGGAAACGAAUGCUAAUACCUAAUAUUAUGAUAAUAGGGCAUCCUAUAAUUAUGAAAGCUAUAAGCGCUGUGAGAGGGCUUUGCGUCCCAUUAGCUAGUUGGAGAGGUAACGGCUCACCAAGGCGAUGAUGGGUAGCCGGCCUGAGAGGGUGAUCGGCCACAAGGGGACUGAGACACGGCCCUUACUCCUACGGGAGGCAGCAGUGGGGAAUAUUGGACAAUGGACCAAGAGUCUGAUCCAGCAAUUCUGUGUGCACGAUGAAGUUUUUCGGAAUGUAAAGUGCUUUCAGUUGGGAAGAAAGAAAUGACGGUACCAACAGAAGAAGUGACGGCUAAAUACGUG